AUUGAACGCUGGCGGCAUGCCUUACACAUGCAAGUCGAACGGCAGCACGGGAGCAAUCCUGGUGGCGAGUGGCGAACGGGUGAGUAAUAUAUCGGAACGUGCCCGGUCGUGGGGAUAACGUAGCGAAAGCUACGCUAAUACCGCAUACGAUCUACGGAUGAAAGCGGGGGAUCGCGAGACCUCGCGCGAUUGGAGCGGCCGAUAUCAGAUUAGGUAGUUGGUGAGGUAAAGGCUCACCAAGCCGACGAUCUGUAGCUGGUCUGAGAGGACGACCAGCCACACUGGGACUGAGACACGGCCCAGACUCCUACGGGAGGCAGCAGUGGGGAAUUUUGGGACAAUGGGCGCAAGCCUGAUCCAGCAAUGCCGCGUGCAGGAUGAAGG
rnacentral:rRNA from 1 species